rfam:Desulfotomaculum acetoxidans DSM 771, complete genome.
GGGGGCGACAUGGUUUCGACGGAGGAAGUGGUGGCAAGAGCAGCGAGCCGGGGUUCCAUCUGCCCGUUAUACGGUGGGAAAAUUUAAUUGCCAAUAACGAUUACGCUUUAGCAGCUUAAUUGCUGUUAACCUCCUACUCGCGCUGGGCCCGUGGCCCGGGCUAGGGGGUCACUUAAACGGGCUGGCUUAGUCCCAAUUCUCGGAGGGGUUAAGCAAGAUUCAUCGAGAUAGUCUUAACGCAGUUCGCCUGCAGACGGCGGUAAGGCGAAUUUAAAUUGCAGACUGCGCUCGGAGAUACUCUUGUGGUCGUUCUUUCGGACGGUGGGUUCGACUCCCCCCGCCUCCACCA